GUCCCUAAUUAGCCUGUGAAGUCUGCACAGGCUUAUCUGGGAAGACACAUUAAGCAUCAUAUUCAUUGGAAGGUAUUGUCCCUAAUUAGCCUGUGAAGUCUGCACAGGCUUAUCUGGGAAGACACAUUAAGCAUCAUAUUCAUUGGAAGGUAUUGUCCCUAAUUAGCCUGUGAAGUCUGCACAGGCUUAUCUGGGAAGACACAUUAAGCAUCAUAUUCAUUGGAAGGUAUUGUCCCUAAUUAGCCUGUGAAGUCUGCACAGGCUUAUCUGGGAAGACACAUUAAGCAUCAUAUUCAUUGGAAGGUAUUGUCCCUAAUUAGCCUGUGAAGUCUGCACAGGCUUAUCUGGGAAGACACAUUAAGCAUCAUAUUCAUUGGAAGGUGCUGUCCCUAAUUAGCCUAUGAAGUCUGCACAGGCUUAUCUGGGAAGACACAUUAAGCACAAAGAUUAAGCACACUUUGUCCAGAGCAAGUCUCGUUUUACACCUGAUUUUUUAUGCUAUCAUUAAAAUAUUUUAAUCUUAAUCCUUUAGCACUCAAGAUGCACAUUUUGACACGUUUGUAGUCCCUUAGCAAAUCAAAUUAAAAUUAAGCACUUUCUUACUAUAUUCAAGUGUGUAAGGCGUCAUUUCUAACCCUAACUUACUGAUGAGUAGCAAACAGCAUAAAACCUGAACAGACUGUUGGUUGAAUAUAGCCAUUUUCACUCUGCUAUGAGUGGGAAAGGGUUAAACAAAUAU